UACGUAGGGUGCGAGCGUUAAUCGGAAUUACUGGGCGUACAGCGUGCGUAGGCGGUUCUGCAAGUCCGAUGUGAAAUCCCCGGGCUUAACCUGGGAACUGCGUUUGAAACUACGGGGCUAGAGUGUGGCAGAGGGGGGUGGAAUUCCACGUGUAGCAGUCAAAUGCGUAGAUAUGUGGAGGAACAACGAUGGCGAAGGCAACCCCCUGGGCCGACACUGACGCUGAGGCACGAAAGCGUGGGGAGCAAACAGG
rnacentral:rRNA from 1 species